rnacentral:rRNA from 1 species
GACGAACGCUGGCGGCGUGCUUAACACAUGCAAGUCGAACGGAAAGGCCCUGCUUGCAGGGUACUCGAGUGGCGAACGGGUGAGUAACACGUGGGUGAUCUGCCCUGCACUUCGGGAUAAGCCUGGGAAACUGGGUCUAAUACCGGAUAGGAGCCAUUUUUAGUGUGAUGGUUGGAAAGUUUUUUCGGUGUAGGAUGAGCUCGCGGCCUAUCAGCUUGUUGGUGGGGUAAUGGCCUACCAAGGCGGCGACGGGUAGCCGGCCUGAGAGGGUGGACGGCCACAUUGGGACUGAGAUACGGCCCAGACUGCGACGGGAGGCAGCAGUGGGGAAUAUUGCACAAUGGGCGCAAGCCUGAUGCAGCGACGCCGCGUGGGGGAUGACGGCCUUCGGGUUGAAAACUCCUUUCGCUAGGGACGAAGCUUUUUGUGACGGUACCUAGAUAAGAAGCACCGGCUAACUACGUG